UACGAAGGGGGCUAGCGUUGUUCGGAAUCACUGGGCGUAAAGGGCGCGUAGGCGGCCGAUCAAGUCGGGGGUGAAAGCCUGUGGCUCAACCACAGAAUUGCCUUCGAUACUGUUUGGCUUGAGACCGGAAGAGGUUAGUGGAACUGCGAGUGUAGAGGUGAAAUUCGUAGAUAUUCGCAAGAACACCGGUGGCGAAGGCGCUCUGCUAGGCCGCAACUGACACUGAGGGACGAAAGCUAGGGGAGCGAAUGGG
rnacentral:rRNA from 1 species